GGUUAUAAUGAUAGCUGGAGCAUCUAGAUAUCUCGAGCCUUUUCAAUUUCAACAUUUUAUUAAGGUGGAAGAAAAGGAUGCCUGCAGCAAGUGAUAAGUGACUAUGAUAUAGGCUUUGAGAUUCAACUCUCAUAACACUUCAGUAUUUGUGUUCACUUGUAGCUUUUCUAAUAUUGUUUGAUUUUUAAUUGUAGUAAUACCCUUUCAUAUUACAGCAAUCAUUUGAAAAUUAGGUUUAUGGCA